UGUCCUCAUUAAGAUUUGAUUUCAUUGCAUGUCGAUAAUCUCUCUCUGUCUCUGUUUUCUCAAAUUUUCUGCCUUUUUGUCAAUCACACUUUUUCUAUUUUAGUAGCUUCGGGUUUUAUGGUGGUUUAUUCUAAGGGUUAAAAUUUGAGUUUUUCGGGUCAGAUUUGAUAAAUAUGAUUGUGGUGCUAAUCGGAAAGAGGAGCAUGUUAAAACAAAACAUUUGCAAGAAUCUCUGAAUUUGGAAACUUUAUGGAUGGUGGUAAUUCUUGCAGGACGUGGAGUGCAAAUGUGGAUGUUGACCGCAUGGUGUGGCCAAACUUGUGAAAGUGUAUGCUUCUUAAAUUUGCUGUUUUAUUACAUGGAAGAAGUAGCAAAAAGUAUGAUUUGAGAAGUAAAGAGAAGAAUUUACAUGUCAAUCUCUUCAAAAGUAAAGUCAAUAACUGGUAGUUAAGACAUGAGACACCGGAGCUGAUCUUCAACGGAUGAAUCAAGGUUUUACUUUCAAAAAUGUGCAAAUGCUGCUCCAAACAAGCUAUUUGUUGGUGUUGGUGACCCAAAUGUUGAUCACAAGUGUUUGUAAAGGCAUGAAGAUAUGGACACUGUUCGUAGUGUCUAUUAUGUGUCUCCCAGCAAUCCUGGUUCUGAUGUUGCUGGAGAAAUGGUUGUUGCUUUAGCUGCUGCCUCAUUAGUUUUCUGGUCUGUUGAUCAAGCUUAUUCGAAAAAGGUAUUCGGAAAUGCAGUUAAAGUUUUUAGGUUUGCAGUUCAAUACAGAAGGUCUUAUAGUGAUUCAGUAAGCUCUACACCCUUGGUAGCCAUAACAACUAAAUGUGGACGGAGGUAGUAUGAUAUUAAAUCUAUAUUGCAGUAACCAUUGAAUUGAACUUGGUGAAGGUUUUUAGAAGACUAAUUACUCAGAUAAAUUAUAAAUUGAAAUGAUGUGCCAAAUCUUUAGCAAACUUUGAUAUUUAGUUUUAAGCGAUAUUUGUGCACUUUCUUUUAGUAGUCACUCAUUUACACGUGUUUUGCUCUUGCAAGGAGCCAAUCUUGAUGAUUCCUUUGAGAAUUCAAAAAUUGGAAGAUCAAUAUUGAGAAAUUAUUGGCUUUUGUUGUCGUUGUUGAUUUUGUCUGACUGUCCAAAGAAUCCAGGUAAAGUGAAUCCAUUGCUUCCAUAUAAUAUGGUGUGAAAUGUCAUGAACAUGAGUUAUUUUUCACUAUAAAUUUUCUCAACUAUUGAUACUGGAUAGGCUAUAGCCUAUAAGCUAGGCAAGUUCCUAAGUAAUUGAGUCUAUUCUCCUGAUUCGGGGCCCUUUCGAGGAUGUGGAGUAGGCUGGGGAAGAUGUAGCAACAUUAUAUAUGGAAGAUCUUAUAGGUGAAAAUUACAUAUUUUGUAAGCUUAGUUUCAUUAAUCAUCUCACAAAUACAUUUGCCUUAUCAGUGUACUUCAUAUUUUCUAUUUUUUGAGCAGUUAAAGUUCCUUUUAUUAUGAAUAAUGAUCUGUGAAGUUUCUACAGAAGAGAAUUAUGUUCUCUGUAUUUUUUUUUGAUUGUUAGGACAUACUCAAUUCGAAUAAUUUCGCAAGCAAAUGGAUCUGUGGUUAUGAAUUCUGUGAAAUGCAUCUGCACUAUUUAUUUAAUUAGACAUUUAUCGAGUCUUUUUCAUAGUAGUAUUUGAUUUGCAAUGUGUAUACAAAAUUUAGGAAGAUGAUAAGUUUAUACUGUUCAACAAUUAAGGUUUGCUUAAUUUUGCUUCAGGUUUUUUGUCAAAAUCUUAGCUUGUGACAGCAAUGCAGAGAGAACUUUUGAUGGAUGGGUUUUUCUUUGAAUCAACUAUUGAAGAUUUAUUUAGUUCUUCUUUAUUUUAUCGGAACUACAGUGAUUACAAAAUUCCUUUUUAUAUGAUGUAAUGAUAAUUAAAAUGCUUUUGAUUCAAGUGUAGAUUAACAAUGACACGGUAGACAAAUCAAAACUCAAGUCAUUUUCUCAACAAUACACAAAUAUACGUGUUGGGCCCGUGCUGGCACGGGUCUGCCCAUCUAGUAUUUUUAAUAAAUAAAAAGGUGUUUGGCUUUGGCUAGACUUGCCUAAUUCUUCUUA